rnacentral:rRNA from 1 species
UACGGGGGGGGUAAGCGUUGUUCGGAAUUACUGGGCGUAAAGGGCUCGUAGGCGGCCAACUAAGUCAGACGUGAAAUCCCUCAGCUUAACUGGGGAACUGCGUCUGAUACUGGAUGGCUUGGAUUCGGGAGAGGAAUGCGGAAUUCCAGGUGUAGCGGUGAAAUGCGUAGAUAUCUGGAGGAAUACCGGUGGCGAAGGCGGCAUCCUGGACCGACAUUGACGCUGAUGAGCGAAAGCUAGGGGAGCAAACGGG